rnacentral:tRNA from 1 species
UGACUUAUAGCUUAACGGUGAGAGCAGUUGCCUUAUACGCAAAAGGUUAUUGGUUCGAAUCCAAUUAAGUCAA